GACGAACCGUGCCAACGUUGUUCGGAAUCACUGGGCUUAAAGAGCGCGCAGGCGGUCGUUCAAGUCGAGUGUGAAAGCCCCCGGCUCAACUGGGGAGGGUCACUCGAUACUGAUCGACUCGAAGGCAGGAGAGGGUAGUGGAAUUCCCGGUGUAGUGGUGAAAUGCGUAGAUAUCAGGAGGAACACCGAUGGCGAAGGCAGCUCGCUGGGACGAUACUGACGCUGAGGCGCGAAAGCGUGGGGAGCAAACAGG
rnacentral:rRNA from 1 species